CGCAGCUCGCCGACCAGGACGCCGACACUCAGCAGCCAGACGACCCAACUGAGCGCCCGCGGGGGACGGAGGGAAGUAAAGAAGAGAAGGGGGUUCGCGGUGCCCUUCGGGAAAGUGUACCUCAUUGUAAGAGUCCACUGUACCAGUUUGGUGAUUUUUUGACUCAGAAAUUACAGCUCUACUUCCAUUUUUGCUACCGAGUAGCCAGAGGUGUUUCAUCAAAACAGAUAAGACCGGAGGGGACCAAGUAGGAGGAGACCAAGCAGGAGGCUGUUGCAGUAAUCUGAUGGAAGA